AAGAUCUUUGUUGAGUAGCUAGUGGGAUCAACUCUCUUAGUCUCGAGUUUGGCUUUAAAAGUGUCAUAGUUGUCUGAUAAAUUUCGUGGCCGAAUGUUGUCACUUUCAUCAAAGUAAAUAACGGGGACCUUCUCUUUUAGCCUUAGAGGUUUGUCACUUUCAUCAAAGUUAAAAACAGGAACCUUCUCUUUUAGCCUUAGAGGUCUGUCUUUUAUGAAUCUAGGACUGCCAGAUUUUCCAGGUGAUUGCUUUGUUUUUUCCUUUGGGCUGUUUGGGGACUUCACUGGAAGAAAAGCAGAUGAAGGGUUGCGGCAGCGAAGGAGGUAUGGUUGCAAAUGUUGAUGCCUUAAC
rnacentral:lncRNA from 1 species